UGUAAGCGUAUACCAAAGUUGUCGCAGUUAAAACGCUCGUAGUCGGAAUUUGGCAGUUCCGGAUGUGUGCACGUCGUGUGCGCACUUCGCGGGGAUUGCUUUUGUGGUCUUGCGUAGGAUGAGGCACUUUUAUUAGUGAACGUCCUCACGCAACCACUUUUUACUGUGAGAAAAUCAGAGUGCUCAAAGCAGGCAUUUGCCGUGAAUGUAUUAGCAUGGAAUAAUAGAAUAGGACUUGGUUCUAUUUUGUUGGUUUGUUGGGACUGAGUAAUGAUUAAGAGGGACAGUUGGGGGCAUUUGUAUUUCGGUGCUAGAGGUGAAAUUCUUAGAUUACCGAAAGACAAACUGCUGCGAAAGCGUCUGCCAAGGAUGUUUUCAUUGA
rnacentral:rRNA from 1 species